CUGCAGCCAAUUAAGCCAAAUGUGCUCUUUCCCCAUGGGGCCCAGUGUGCAAUGGCUGCAAACAGUGCCCUCCUUGGUAGUAUGUGCAGCCUGUUGGCCUGUAUGAGUUGCUUCAAGGGACCUUGGAGACAGUG
rnacentral:snoRNA from 1 species